AUGUUAUACAUUAUUACAUUAUUGGCAAAAAGUUAUUCCGUUAUUGGCUCAACAACUUCAUUACAUUAUUGGCAAUUUAUUACGUUAUUGGCUUUAUUACAUUUUUAUUAUUACGUUAUUGCCAGUUAUUACGUUAUUGGCUGUUAUUACAUAAUUUGUUGCUACACUCCCUUACAGACCUACUCAGCACCUCACUCUCUGUCUCACUCCCUCACAGACCCACUCAGCACCUCACUCUCUGUCUCACUCCCUCACAGACCCACUCAGAACAUCACUCUCUGUCUCACUCCCUCACAGACCUACUCAGCACCUCACUCUCUGUCUCACUCCCUCACAGACCCACUCAGCACCUCACUCUCUGUCUCACUCCCUCACAGACCCACUCAGAACAUCUCUCUCUGUCUCACUCCCUUACAGACCCACUCAGAACAUCACUCUCUGUCUCACUCCCUCACAGACCCACUCAGAACAUCACUCUCUGUCUCACUCCCUUACAGACCCACUCAGAAAAUCACUCUCUGUCUCACUCCCUCACAGACCCACUCAGAACAUCACUCUCUGUCUCACUCCCUCACAGACCCACUCAGAACAUCACUCUCUGUCUCACUCCCUCACAGACCCACUCAGAACAUCACUCUCUGUCUCACUCCCUUACAGACCCACUCAGCACCUCACUCUCUGUCUCACUCCCUUACAGACCCACUCAGAACAUCACUCUGUCUCACUCCCUUACAGACCCACUCAGAACAUCACUCUCUGUCUCACUCCCUUACAGACCCACUCAGAACAUCACUCUCUGUCUCACUCCCUUACAGACCCACUCAGAACAUCACUCUGUCUCACUCCCUUACAGACCGACUCAGCACCUCACUCUCUGUCUCACUCCCUUACAGACCCACUCAGCACCUCACUCUCUGUCUCACUCCCUUACAGACCCACUCAGCACCUCACUCUCUGUCUCACUCUUUGUUUCGUCCUCUUUCUCACUCUCUCUCAUUCUCUUCAACGACUGACCUAUUUAUUUCCAUCUAUCUCUACCUCUCACUCCCUCGCCCGCUCUCCUUCUCACUUUCCCAACGCUUCACUCGCCUGCUCUCUCUCACCCUCUCUGUUCCUCUCUCUGGAACACUCGCUCACUCCGUUCCGGAGUGA
rnacentral:lncRNA from 1 species